rnacentral:rRNA from 1 species
UUCCGUAGGUGAACCUGCGGAGGGAUCAUUACACAUAACCAGGCGGGCUGGACACCCCCCGCUGGGCACUGCUUCACGGCGUGCGCGGCGGGGCCGGCCCUGCUGAAUUAUUCACCCGUGUCUUUUGCGUACUUCUUGUUUCCUGGGUGGGCUCGCCCGCCCUCAGGACCAACCACAAACCUUUUGCAAUAGCAAUCAGCGUCAGUAACAACGUAAUUAAUUACAACUUUCAACAACGGAUCUCUUGGUUCUGGCAUCGAUGAAGAACGCAGCGAAAUGCGAUACGUAGUGUGAAUUGCAGAAUUCAGUGAAUCAUCGAAUCUUUGAACGCACAUUGCGCCCUUUGGUAUUCCAAAGGGCAUGCCUGUUCGAGCGUCAUUUGUACCCUCAAGCUUUGCUUGGUGUUGGGCGUCUUUUGUCUCCAGUUCGCUGGAGACUCGCCUUAAAGUCAUUGGCAGCCGGCCUACUGGUUUCGGAGCGCAGCACAAGUCGCGCUCUUUGCCAGCCAAGGUCAGCGUCCAGCAAGCCUUUUUUUCAACCUUUGACCUCGGAUCAGGUAGGGAUACCCGCUGAACUUAAGCAUAUCAAUAAGCGGAGGA